ensembl:lncRNA
CGUUCAUGGUCCUUUUGACUUAGGUAAAAGUCACGGUGCCAGAUCCAGUGAAUAAGGUGGAGAGGAGGACACAGCCUGCCUUCCCAUUGGGUGGCAUUCACAACAGCAUUCACCAUAAUUUUUUUAUCACCCCUCGCCAAGACACUCAUGAGCGAGCACUUCUAGAACUUCGUCAGAAAGUGGCAAGAACCCAGGGAUAAAAGUGACCUUGGCUCAAGAUGCAAAACUGACAAUUACAAAAGAGGAUGACGGAAUUUCCACGUCUCGGACUCUCCCUGGGUUCAUACUUGACCAUAAACCCACGGAUGUUCACUGCAGUGCUGCUCAUUGGGCAAAGGCACUGGACACUCCCUGAGGCCACCAGGGUCUUGCUAAGUCACCAAAUUUUCCAGACUGGGCUCAAACUUAUGAUCCUCCUGCCUCAGCCUCCCAGAGUGCUGGGAUCACAGGCGUGCGCCACCACCCCGGCGGCCCUCAUCAUUCCUGAAGAUCCAGGCAGAGGAAGCCUGGCCCCUGCGAGCCUCAUCCAGCCUCUUCCUCCUCCUCGAGAUGCCCAACUAGGAGUUCCCGCCUGGAGGAGCUAGGACUACAUUUCCCACGAGCCUCCGCACGGUACCGCACCUCCCCCGCGCUUAGCUCGGCGGGGCUCAGUGUCCUUCAGCCGCGGGCCAGCUGCCUGCACUGUCCCUGGCCCCCCACCCCGCCUCGUCACCUCACGCCCGCGUUCUGCAGCCGGGCCGAGCACCCUCUGCCUCCCGCGGCGAACCUGCC